rnacentral:rRNA from 1 species
GAUGAACGCUGGCGGCGUGCCUAAUACAUGCAAGUCGAGCGAACAGACGAGGAGCUUGCUCCUCUGACGUUAGCGGCGGACGGGUGAGUAACACGUGGAUAACCUACCUAUAAGACUGGGAUAACUUCGGGAAACCGGAGCUAAUACCGGAUAAUAUAUUGAACCGCAUGGUUCAAUAGUGAAAGACGGUUUUGCUGUCACUUAUAGAUGGAUCCGCGCCGCAUUAGCUAGUUGGUAAGGUAACGGCUUACCAAGGCGACGAUGCGUAGCCGACCUGAGAGGGUGAUCGGCCACACUGGAUCUGAGACACGGUCCAGACUCCUACGGGAGGCAGCAGUAGGGAAUCUUCCGCAAUGGGCGAAAGCCUGACGGAGCAACGCCGCGUGAGUGAUGAAGGUCUUCGGAUCGUAAAACUCUGUUAUUAGGGAAGAACAAAUGUGUAAGUAACUAUGCACGUCUUGACGGUACCUAAUCAGAAAGCCACGGCUAACUACGUG